CCUACGGGUGGCAGCAGUGGGGAAUAUUGGGCAAUGGAGGAAACUCUGACCCAGCAACGCCGCGUGAAUGAUGAAGGUCUUCGGAUUGGAAAGUUCUUUUCUAAGGGAAGAAGAAAGUGACGGUACCUUAGGAAUAAGCCUCGGCUAACUACGUGCCAGCAGCCGCGGUAAUACGUAGGAGGCAAGCGUUAUCCGGAAUGAUUGGGCGUAAAGGGUGCGUAGGUGGUUCAGCAAGUUAGUAGCGUAAUUGCGGAGCUCAACUUCGGCACUACUACUAAAACUGGUGGACUUGAGUGCAGGAGGGGCAACUGGAAUUUCUAGUGUAGCGGUGGAAUGCGUAGAUAUGAGGAAGAACACCGGUGGCGAAGGCGAGUUGCUGGACUGUAACUGACACUGAGGCACGAAAGCGUGGGGAGCAAACAGGAUUAGAUACCCUUGUAGUC
rnacentral:rRNA from 1 species